UACGCUUUUAUAUAGGAUAGGAGUAAAAGCAUCUGCAUCUGCAUCUGAAAAGAAAGAUUUCAGUUAGUAAUUUAUUGUUCACGGUCUUCGAUGACUCAAUAUCAUACAGACUGGUUACUUAAACUACGCUUAGAACUAUCCUUACUUAAGGCUAUUUAUGAUCAAUGAAAAGUUUUUCCUUCAAAUAAAAAACCGAAUAACAGCCAAACAACAAGGAUUUUUCAAAGGUCGAUCAUUUUCAACAAAUUUACUUGAAUUCGUGUUACAAUUAAUUAUUCUUUCUAAUUUGACGAUACGAUAAGAGCUUAUUUGGCAAACAUUUUACUUUACCCAUUCCCCUCACAGAUAAACCAAAAGCGCAAAUGCAAUAAACAUUUCUCUGAGUGCUUAGAGGAAGAACACUGAAACAAAAACUAGGUCAAACAAGAAACAACUUUGAGUGAAAAUCGCGAGAAAUACGUGCUAGGAAUUAAUUCACCACAGGCGUGUAAGUUGAAAACCAAAACAAACGAAAGAAGCUUGAAAAGUUGGCAGCAUCGCCUUGCCAUUCGCGUUUCCGGAAUAAAGCCAGAAAGAAGGCAUUAGUGUCGUGUGCGAGCAAUCGGUCGGAACAACGCUGUCGGCCAAAGAGCAAAAAGGAUUCCCGUGCAGCGGGAGCAGGAACCGACAGGUAAGCAGAUUGAUUCUUCUGCGAAUUAAGGCAGUGUCACUAAUAGCGUGCCAAUUCUAGACGCUCCACCGAUUGGCCUGCGGAACAAGCCAUUCCGAGCCGGAAAAAUUGCUUUUGUGUUCUCACAAGAGGCGAAAGGUUUGAUCCGUGGUCGAAGAAAGCCCGGAAAGAAUUUCUACCAUUCCGUUCAACUUCCGAUCGAAGCGAAGGAGAAAGGUAAGCGAAAAGCUGAGUCAUUAACGAAUGGCCUUUAACCAAACGGCGCACAUGUUCGCAGGUUUGCCAUACCGAUUGGCCAAUACAAAAGCCGGCCACGCGAGCACAGAAGGUUGACAGCCAAAACAGAAAACACAUACGAAGGGGUCGGAAAUCGUAGGUACAAACCAUUUAAAAUCGUCACGAUUUACCGACACUUUUUCCCUUCAACAGGGCCCCUUCUUCUUCCCCCCCCCCUUCUUCUUUAUGCUUCUUCUCGUCUACGACAAGUUUUCUUUUCGUCUGCGACGAGUCUCUUUUACCGUCGACCAGCCUUUUAACCUCUGAGUGACAAUUCUGUCCGGGUUACGCCAGCACAGCACUUCUUGUGGCACCAUAUUACCAGCAUUAUCACUGGUGCUAUCCAGCGAACGAGCGAUCAGCAUUUCAUUCCUCAUCUAGACAGUAAACCGAGCAUUUUGUCCCGCGGUACCCACCGCGUGCGAGUCAACGAGUGGUGCAAUUAUCGUCGAGGCACUCUUUCACUUAUUUGGCCAGCAGAUGACAAACGACCAGUGGCCAAGCGGAAGUCCACGGAGUGGACGGAUUCAUCGAAGAGCGAAGCAGCACAGGCCUCAGGUUUUGAGCAGGAUUGAAGGUGAAAUCGACGCGAAAGAUGGCCGAGUAGCGAGCCACUUCGCACGUGUUCCAGCGGAAGCGACAUCAAAUUCUGGUGCCAUUGUGCUCCGGAUAUCAAAAGUGGGAUGCGCCUGCAAGUAGCAGAAUCGACGGUAGGCGCUUGAAAACAGACAGCGCAUGCGAGUCGAAGUGGUGGUCCGGAUCGAUAGCAGGUGUGUCGGCAAAAGGGCAGCCGCCCCCGCAUCGUUGGAGAUCGGUGCACAGUAAGGUGAGGUGCAAGCCCCAAGCGAAAGCCGAACAGCCAGGGAGCCGCCCAAAGCCAGCCAAAAGGAUACCGGUGACGCUGAAGACUGAAGCAUGCACGUUAGUUGUUUUUGAAACAUGUGAGGGUGGGAGAAAUAAUGGGUUUUAAAAUUUAGCAACCCUUCAAUAAAAGUUGCACAAUUUCUGUUUGCAAAUACAUUUUGAUUCAUUCUGUGGCAUCGACCAUAAUCCAACAUAAUAUUCUUAGAUUAUUCAUUAAAUGCAAUGGAUAAUGAAAAUCACGUUGAGGCAUUGUAUACAGACUUUAGCAAAACAUUUGAUCGUAUAGAUAUACCGAUGCUUCUUAAUAAGCUAAUAAUUGGAGUUCGUUUGGGACUUCUGAAAUGGCUUGAAUCAUAUUUAACAAACAGACAACAAAUAGUAAAAUUUAAUGGAACGAAGUCACUUCAGGUGUUCCACAAGGCUCACAUUUAGGACCACUUUUUUAUUCUUGUACGUAAACGGCAUUACUUUCGCCUUAAAAAUCUUUAUUUAUUUAACAAUCUUUGCAGGUGCUUCAAAUUAUUUACAGAGAUUAAACUAACUUAUCCUAGAUUUAAACACAGAUUCGAUUUUCGAUAAAGUAAAAUCAAAUUCACUAGCAAUUUCGUUGAAUUUUGCACAACAUACAUCUAAAGGAUUGUUGACCACCCGAUUAGCCAAAACCAUGGUAUUACAUUCAUUUUCCAGUGAUUUUGAGUGUGACCAUGUUAUUCAUCGUAAUGACAUCGUCCCAGCUUAAAAAUUUCAAAAAUUUAUGCACUUACAUUUUAUCGUGUAGGAGAAAGUUCUGACAGUCGAGGCGGAUCGAGGCACUUUGUUUUUAUUCCCAAAACAAUUCCGAUCGGCAGAAAAAAAAAUUAGGAAGCUUUUAGUGAAAAAUAUUCAUAAAGAUGAGCGCAAAGCGACAAAAUGCCACCACAAAUUGGAAAGCCGGUGUCCCGUAGAAUCUAAGACCAACCAAGCUGGUGCGAAACGGACCUAGGCAGAAUCCCAAUAAAGUCAUCAAGUGAUUCUAAAAUGAGUGUUUUUCAAUAAUAAUAAAAUGUUGAUAGAAAAAUAAAUUUUAAUGAGAAAUAAACACGGACAUUUUAUUUUGAGAUCACGAAUUUACAUAGAAUUUCAUCUUCCUUGCAACAAUGAACAUUCAAUGUAAUUCAAUGAAAAAACAAUGAAUUUCAUCGUUCCCUUGAGGAAAACUGGAAGCUGUAAUUGUAGGAUAGAUAUGCGAUAAUGGAAAAUAUAAAAUAAAAUAAUUUAUGUUAAAAGAAAAGAACGUUUAAUUUAAUCCUUUAGAAUUUCUCAACACGUACUAAUUAUUGAUGGACAAGUGAACAACAUGUGGAAUCAGAGAAAAUCUGGCUACUUCGAUUGGAAAUAAUGUUCAUUGCGUUCAUUGUUGCGCGAUAACUUUUUCCUAUAAAUAGAACGGCACCUGUGCUAAACGGGUGAUUCUUAAAUCGAAUUUUGGGAAGUAAACAUCCCUGUAAGGAAACCGGAGUAAGCGACCUCAAGAAGACGGCCAACCCUCAGAUUACGACAAUGGCGCAGUCGGCAGCAGCUACGGAUCUACGUCCAUUAGGUUUCUUACUAGAAGACUUAAAUAAAGUUUUUUUGGGAAGAAAUCUCAACUUGAAUAAAAAACAAAGAGUUUAAAUCUUUUCUAGGGUUAUGUAUUGAACUUUUCAGUUAGAGUGAAAACCACUAAAAGCGAGUUGCAUAAAGUAAAGACGAAAUUAUUUUGUCGAUACUUGUAAGAAUAACUUCGGUAGAAAAGACGAAGUUAUGAGUAUGUGAGUUCUGAUGGAAAAGGCAGAAACUCUGGGAAGAAAGAGGCUCAUUUGUGUCUCCGAUGAGAAGGCGGAAGACCAAGAUAGAUUUCUGAUGGAAAAGGCAGAAACUCUUUGAUGAAUCAUAAAAAACCAUGUUUAUGUCUCCGAUAGUAAGGCGGAAGACUGCAAUAGAGUUCUGAUAGAGAAGGCAGAAACUCUUAAAUUGAAUUGAAAGUAUUAAGAGCAGAAAAAGACUCAAUUGUGUCUCCGAUGAGAAGGCGGAAGAUCAAGAAAGAGUUGCACGCUCAUAUUUAUAUAACCAUAUUUGGUUCAAAAAUAACCAUUUUAUGACAUUUGCCUCAAAACUACCAAUAUGGUUGUUUUUUAUGAUUUUUUCCAAGAUAAAUUUCAACCAUUUUGGAAGUUCUCGAGUAUUAACCAUAAAAUGGUUGAAUAAUUUGACGUCUUUUCAUCGCCAUUUUGAAAGCGUCCAAUGGUGCAGCCGAACGCAUUUUAGAAAUCUAUUUUUCCCGGACUCAAUUAAGUUAUCAAGUUUAUUUUAUUGCAUCCGUAGGAGAUCAUGAAAAGUAAGUGAUGUGCUGUAAGUUUUUGUCAUAACAAUAAUCUUUAUAAUCAACAAAAAAACAAUUUCAGGUCACCGAAUGGACAUCGCUUCAGGUCCAAUUAAAAAACUGAUAGCAUCGAAACAACCAGAUUGCGAGGGCUCACUAAAGUUACCUGGCCACAGCAGCAGCAGACGGAAGAAAAAAAAAUCAUAUUUCUCGUUCAUUGUGAAAGAUUUUAAGUUCCUCACGAAAUCGAGGACUGGAGGAUACUUCCGAUGAUAACUAUUCCCAUUAUUUUUGCAAAGAACACGUCAGUAGCGCCAGAUAAUUUCAACCUAAAAAAACUAAUGAUUGUCUUCUGGAAUGACACAAUCAAAACGCUCCAACUAGGCCGCCUCCGUUAGGGCAAUCCAACAGCACUCAUCCUUCGAUCAUUUCUCCAACAGCAGCAGGUGGAAGAAAAGUUUUUGUCAUACGAACUUUUUUUACUAUCCGGAAGGAGCUUAAAUGGGCCAUCACUUUAGCAAAAACCAUCACCUGCCGGAACCUCCUUGAAUAACAGCAGAUUGGAAUAGCCUAUCCGCUAGAGCUACACGGCUUUACAGAAUGUCACCAAGGUACACGAGAUCACCACUUCCGCCACGGGGGAACUUCUGUUACCACGGGUGUUAAGGCUAUUUGUUGCUGUUCCUAGCCUGAAAUUUUCUGUUCCUGCUUAAAAAUUCAGAUUUUUUUUUAUUUACUUCGAUAAAAAUAUCUUGUUAUUGAAAUGGCAUUUAUUACUCACAAGAAAUAAAGAAACUAAUACGAAAAACCGUAUUUUUCCUAAGUAUGUCGAUAACUUAAAAAAAUGCUAAAAACUGCCCUGAAAAGAACGGGUGAAAAAUAACCAUUUUUUAACUUCUCCUCCAAAACCCCGUUCGGUUGAAAAAUAACCAUAUUCGAAGUUCUCCCGUAGAAGUCAUUUUAUGACUUCUCAUGGAGAACUCAUAAAAUGACAUUUCCCGGGAAAAGGUCAAAAAUGGUUAUUUUUGAAUGAUAAAUGGUUUAAUAAUUUCUAGCGUGUGUGAUAGAGAAGGCAGAAACUCUUAAAUGGAAUUGUAAGUAUUAAGAUAAAAAAAAAAGACUCAAUUGUGUCUCCGAUGAGAAGGCGGAAGAUCAAGAUAGAGUUCUGAUGGAUUAGACAGAAACUUUAACAAGGAAUCGAAAAUAUGAGGAGCAGGAAGGCUCAUUUCCAUCUCCGAUGAGAAGACAGAAGAUCAACAUAGAAUUGUAAUGGAGAAUGUUGAACUCUUACAUGAAAUAGAAAUUAUUACGAUCAAAAAGGCAGAUUUGUGCCAAGUUGAGAAGUCGGAAGACAGAAAGUUAAAUUCGAAUGUAAAGAUUAGAAACUAAGACUAACCAAGAGAUUGGUUAUCUGUGUCUCGUAUGAGAAAACAGAAGACUAGAAUCAUAGUUCUGAAAAACUAAAUGGUCGAAACUAUAAAAAAAAAUCAUUUGUGAAUAGAUCAUUCAUGUUUCCGAUGGUAAGGAAGACGAUUGAAAGUCGAAAAAAUCUGCGAUUGAGAAGCGAAAAAAAAAACUAUUGAAUCACUAUUGAAGCAAUCUGAUAAAAUUUCAAUACAUUCGCAAAAAAAAUGAUUUAAAUAUAUGAAAGAGAAUUUAAAUUUAUGAAUCAUUUUAAUUUGACGACACGAUACUUGGGAGAGUACAGAAGGGAAGUAUUGUAGGAUAGAUAUGCGAUAAUGGAAAAUAUAAAAUAAAAUAAUUUAUGUUAAAAGAAAAGAACGUUUAAUUUAAUCCUUUAGAAUUUCUCAACACGUACUAAUUAUUGAUGGACAAGUGAACAACAUGUGGAAUCAGAGAAAAUCUGGCUACUUCGAUUGGAAAUAAUGUUCAUUGCGUUCAUUGUUGCGCGAUAACUUUUUCCUAUAAAUAGAACGGCACCUGUGCUAAACGGGUCAUUCUUAAAUCGAAUUUUGGGAAGUAAACAUCCCUGUAAGGAAACCGGAGUAAGCGACCUCAAGAAGACGGCCAACCCUCAGAUUACGACAGUAAUAACCAUAAAUUAUAUAGUUUUGUGUUCUGAAAUGUAUGGGAAAAAGUUGAUUUUUUCAUUGUUAAGUUGCUUAACAACCCCCUUUUUUCAUGGUAAUUUUGGCCAAAACCAUGAAUACCAUGGUCGAAAACAAUGAGUUCAACAGUAAAAUCAUGGUUUCAUGUACCGUAAUAUUCAUGGUCUCAACCAUGAAAUCCUCGGUAAAGUGAAAAUAAAAUUCAUGGUUUUUUCAUAAUGUUUUUCUAUUCGGGCAUAUAGAGUUCGUCCAAAAAUAAUAUAUUCAAAGAUACCUAGGUCUCAAAAUUUUUCAUAUAAAUGCCAACGGACAAUCUUUUAACAAACCAAAACACCAUCUACUGACAGAAAAGAUCAACAUUUCUCGAUAAUUGAAUUUUUCACUUGUACCCCUCGUUCCGGGGUGUUUAAAGCAAGGGGCUGAAGAAAACAAAAAUUCUCGUACCAAGUUUUCAGUCAAGAAACCUGCAGGAGGAAGAAAAAUGAAACGAGUGAAAAACGUAUAGGAGCAACAUGGCGUCCUCAUUGCAAAAAUUUCAACCAGAGGCACUCCAGAGGCAAUUUUUUAAUAAUCCUUAAAAUGAUAUCCGCGGCUCGGGAAUGUCAAUCAAAGGGAUCUUUGGUAACAUUAAUAAAUUAUGGUUGGGCACAAAAUGCAGAGUUUUCAGCAUAACCCUUGUUAAAAUUGAUUCUAAAUCUGCAGUAUGACAACAACAGAUGCGUUUGGCAACCAAAAUGUUACCCUAUUUCGAAUCUGUAUGGGGUGAAGUGUUUAAUUUCGGGAACCACACUGACGUUCUGGUACCAAAAAUUUGGUACGGUGCGUUUGUAUGCGAUUUGACAGCUGGUUCAGUCCUCUGGUUUAAAGUGCUCUCUAAUAUUGUCGCUGAAUCCCCAAACCGGAGUUAUCGUCAAUGAGCGCUGGCGACAUUUACUGGCGACACUCACUGCACGCUCGUUUUCAUUUAACCAAUUAUGGUUACAGAAUAACCAUUUUAUGGUGUUUGCUCCAAAACUAUGAAUAUGGUUAUUUUUCAAGAAUUUUUCUAUGUCAAAAUUCAACCAUUUAUCAAGUUCUGGUGUAUAAACCACAAAAUGGAUGAAAAAUUUUACGUUUUUUCUACGCCAUAUUGGAAGCUACCGUGGAGUGAACCGAAAGUGUUUCGGAUUUAAUUUGUUCGCACAAGGCUGGAGAGAUUCUUAAGUGCACCAAUUGGACGAAUCUGUGGCAGUCCGGUUCCAGUUCCAGCACCUAAAGCGGGGCUAUAACUUACUUCCGGAACGAGCGCACAUAUAGUGAUUCAAAAACUGGCCCUCCCGACCAUUCUCCAUAACAUUCGGUUGAAGCUGAGAUGGGUAGACAGUCCAAAAAACUCCACCCACCGGAGUGGAAUUGCGUUCAACAUAAGAGUCUGUGCUACAGUUGCUUCAUCCGGAACCUCCCAGAUGCAUUAACACAAAGCAGAAAAAAGGAACCGCCUGACGAAAUGCCGUUUUUGGAAAAACUCCCUUGUCAGCCAGUCGUCCUCGAAAUAACUAAUAGCAUCGUUGACGAAAAUGUUAUUCUCAAGAAUGAAAUCCGUCCCCAGAGCGUCUCGCGACAACUGGUCCGCAUAAUCGUUCCCCGGAAGCUCGAUAUGUCCUGGAACCCUUUGAAUUGUGGUUCGAUUACGCUGAGCCAGCUGUAAGAUCUCAUUGGCAACGGAAUUGCCCACCCUAGUAUUUUUACUCUUCUUCUGAAACAAACAUUUUUUCCAGUUAUGUGACUUAAUA